rnacentral:rRNA from 1 species
AUGGUAAUCCUUCCUAGCAUGUUUCACCUUCUCCCUAACCAGCUCUGCAUCAGCACCAUCAGAGGUCAGAACCUCAGCUGGCAGCUCUUCCACGGACCCGUUACGACAUCCACGCUUUGUUUCAAACCUAGGACUUGUCCGAGGAGUGCCGGUAUGGUAGUUCUUCCUAGAAAGUUUCACUUCCCCUCUCACCAGCUCAGCAUCACCACCUUUAGAGGUCAGAGCCUCGGCUGGCAGCUCUUUCACAGGCCCGUUAUGACAUUCACGCUUCGGUUCAAACCUAGGACUUGUCCCAGGAGUGCCGGAAUGGUAAUCCUUCCCAGGAUGUUGCAUCUUCUCUCUCACCAGCUCCGUGUCGCCACCUUCAGAGGUCAGUGCCUCGGCUGGCAGCUCUUCUAG